CCUACGGGUGGCAGCAGUGAGGAAUAUUGGUCAAUGGCCGCAAGCCUGAACCAGCCAAGUCGCGUGAGGGAAUAAGGCCCUAUGGGUCGUAAACCUCUUUUGUCAGGGAGUAAAGGCGUCCACGUGUGGACGAGAGGAGAGUACCUGAAGAAUAAGCACCGGCUAACUACGUGCCAGCAGCCGCGGUAAUACGUAGGGUGCGAGCGUUAAUCGGAAUUACUGGGCGUAAAGGGUGUGCAGGCGGCUGAGUAAGUCAGAUGUGAAAUCCCCGGGCUUAACCUGGGAACCGCAUAUGUGACUGCUUGGCUAGAGUGCGUCAGAGGGAGGUGGAAUUCGACGUGUAGCAGUGAAAUGCGUAGAUAUGUGGAAGAACACCGAUGGCGAAGGCAGCCUGCUGGAACGCAACUGACGCUCAUACACGAAAGCGUGGGGAGCAAACAGGAUUAGAUACCCCAGUAGUC
rnacentral:rRNA from 1 species